GGAGUCUCGCUCUCUCACCCAGGCUGGAGUGCAGUGGCGCCAUCUCGGCUCACUGCAAGCUCCGCCUCGAGGGUUCACGCCAUUCUCCUGCCACAGCCUCCCGAGUAGCUGGGAUUACAGGUGCCUGCCACGAGGACCGGCUAAUUUUUUUGUAUUUUUAGUAGAGACAGGGUUCACCAUGUUAGCCAGGAUGGUCUUGAUCUCCUGACCUCGUGAUCUGCCUGCCUCAGCCUCCCAAAGUACUGGGAUUACAGGCGUGAGCCACCACACCUGGCAGCUAUCCUUUUUUGAAAAUAAGUCUUUGUUUAGUUUGUUAUAACAAAAUAGAUUGAGUAAUUUACAAACAAUAGAGAUUUAUUGCUCACAGUUCUGGAGGGUUGGAAGUUCAAGGCAUCAGCAAAUUUGGUGUCUGGUAAGUACCCUCCCUCUGCUUCAAAGAUGGUACCUUCUUGCCGUGUCUUUAUGUAGUGGAAAGGGCAAACAGACUUCCUCAGGCCUCUUUUGUAAGGGCACUAAUCCCCUUCAUGAGGGCAGAGCCUAAAGGCCCUACUUCUUAAUAUUAUUGCUUUAGGGAUUGGAUUUCAACAAUUUGGGGGAACACAAACAUUCAGACCAUAGUGUCAAACCACUUAAUUUUUUCAAAACCAAACUUUUCCAAUAAAGCAGUAAUCAAAAACUAGUAAACCUUGGCAAUUAAAGCUGGCCCUGGAAUCCCCUGCCAGUUUUUCUUUCUCUUCUGGAUGACCUCUCUAUUUCCAGAGUACUUACGAUGUCCCAAAUCUCCCUUCCAACCCUGUGUAACCCUUGCUCUUCAGAAUGCUUUGAUUUGCUUUAUCUUCUCGUCAGAAUUCACAUUCUCUUAUUUGUUGAAUGAGUGACCUUUAGUUCAUACUAAGGUGUAGUUUUUUGUUUGUUUUUUUCCAGACAGUCUCUCUCUGUCUCCCAGACUGGAGUGCAGUGGCAUGAUCUUGGCUGACUCCAACCUCCGCCUCCCAAGUUCAAGUGAUUCUCAUGCCUCGGCCUCCAGGGUAGCUGGGAUCACAGGUGUGCACCACCAUGCCCUUUUUUGCAAUUUUAGUAGAGCCAGGGUUUUGCUGUGUUGACCAGGCUGGUCUCAAACUCUUGUCUUCAAGUGAUCCUCCUGCCUCAGGCUCCCAAAGUGUUGGGAUUACAGGCAUGAGCCACUGCCCCGGCCUAACAUGAAGUUUGCUGGUAACAAGCUUCUGUAUU
rnacentral:lncRNA from 1 species